rnacentral:rRNA from 1 species
AUUGAACGCUGGCGGCAGGCUUAACACAUGCAAGUCAAGCGGUAACAGAGAGAAGCUUGCUUCUCUGCUGACGAGCGGCGGACGGGUGAGUAAUGCCUAGGAAUCUGCCUAGUAGUGGGGGGUAACUUGCCGGAAGGUAAGCUAAUACCGCAUACGUCCUACGGGAGAAAGGAGGGGACCUUCGGGCCUUUCGCUAUUAGAUGAGCCUAGGUCGGAUUAGUUAGUUGGUGAGGUAAUGGCUCACCAAGACCGCGAUCCGUAACUGGUCUGAGAGGGAGAUCAGGCAAACUGGAACUGAGACACGGGCCAGACUCCUACGGGAGGGAGCAGUGGGGAAUAUUGGACAAUGGGGGGAACCCUGAUCCAGCCAUGCCGCGUGUGUGAAGAAGGUCUUAGGAUUGUAAAGCACUUUAAGUUGGGAGGAAGAGCAGUUAACUAAUAUUUGACUGUUUUGACGUUACCGACAGAAUAAGCACCGGCUAACUUCGUGCCAGCCGCCGCCGUAA